rnacentral:rRNA from 1 species
CACGGAGUUAGCCGAUGCUUUUUCUCCGGGUACUCUCAGCCGUGUCACACGUGACACAGCUUGCUCCCCGGCAAAAGAGGUUUACAAUCCAUAGGACCGUCUUCCCUCACGCGACUUGGCUGGUUCAGGCUCGCGCCCAUUGACCAAUAUUCCUCACUGCUGCCUCCCGUAGGAGUCUGGUCCGUGUCUCAGUACCAGUGUGGGGGACCUUCCUCUCAGAACCCCUACGCAUCGUCGCCUCGGUGGGCCGUUACCCCGCCGACUAGCUAAUGCGCCGCAUGCCCAUCCCUGGCCGGAAUCGCUUCCUUUGAUCCUAACGGGAUGUCCCGCAAGGAUGUUACGCGGUAUUAGACCGGAUUUCUCCGGCUUAUCCCCCAGCCGGGGCAGGUUGCAUACGUGUUACUCACCCGUGCGCCGGUCGCCGGCGGAUGAAGCAAGCUUCAUCCCCGCUGCCCCUCGACUUGCAUGUGUUAAGCCUGUCGCUAGCGUUCAUCCUGAGCCAGGAUA